UUUAUUUCUUCUUUGACUCCCAAAGUGGCCGUCUUGUUCUUUCCGUCUUGUUCUUUGCCAACAAUCAUCAUCAUCAUCAUCUGCAAAACCUGCAAUCAUCAUCAUCUUCCCCAUCUCCACUUCUCUAGAUUCCAGAAUCCCAAAUUCUCCCAUCUCAAAUCUAACAGAUUUGGGAAUUGGCAAGAGCGGAAGAGCCAAGAAGGAUUUUUGAGUCUAACACAACAAUUUCGUUGGGUAACGAGUAGAUGCAUGGGGAAAAAGGGGAUGAACCUACUAAAUAAAAGAAAGUUUUUUUCCUACUACUAUUUCAAGAGAAUGAGUACUGUAAUAUAUUUUGCUAAACUUUGGUAUUGUACAAUUAAUGAUGUCAUUUUCUAAUAAAAGUACUAUUCAGAUA